rnacentral:lncRNA from 1 species
CAAAACCUACGUCCGCUCCAAGGGCCGGAAGUUCGAGCGUGCCAGAGGCCGACUGGACAACCAAGGCCACAAAAACUAACCCGGGGCUGGGAGCGGUGGCUCACGCCUGUAAUCCCAGCACUUUGGGAUGCCGAGGCGGGGCGGAUCACGAACGAGAGUAUCUGUUUUGCAUUCCUUACUUGGUGGAGGUAGAAUGAGAGCCAAUGAUUCUUCACCAUCACACAGCCGGUUAUCAAGAUAGCCCUUCAGUCACAAGCAAUGCCCAGUGAACUGCAGAUUCUCAUCAGUUCAGAACAAGGCCACACAUGGAGACAAAGCAUGAUGAAUAGUCUGUUACUAUAACCCAGAGGAGCUGACCUUGGCAUUGACAAUCCUGCAAAAAUAGGGUGAAGCAAUAAAGGGAGAAAAAAAUCACCACAUCCUCCUUACCCACUUUGGGUGAAACCUGAGCUUGAGAAGAGGAGAUGCUUUGAACGGAAGAGAUAAAGCUUUUUU